CCUACGGGAGGCAGCAGUGGGGAAUAUUGGGCAAUGGGCGCAAGCCUGACCCAGCAACGCCGCGUGAAGGAAGAAGGCUUUCGGGUUGUAAACUUCUUUUCUUAGGGACGAAGCAAGUGACGGUACCUGAGGAAUAAGCCACGGCUAACUACGUGCCAGCAGCCGCGGUAAUACGUCGGUGGCAAGCGUUAUCCGGAUUUACUGGGUGUAAAGGGCGAGUAGGGGGGGAAGCAAGUCAGAUGUGAAAUCCACGGGCUCAACCUGUGAACUGCAUGUGAAACUGUGUUUCUUGAGUACUGGAGAGGCAGGCGGAAUUCCUAGUGUAGCGGUGAAAUGCGUAGAUAUUAGGAGGAACACCGAUGGCGAAGGCGGUCUGCUAGACAGCAACUGACGCUGAGGCGCGAAAGCGUGGGGAGCAAACAGGAUUAGAUACCCUAGUAGUC
rnacentral:rRNA from 1 species